rnacentral:tRNA from 1 species
GCAUCGGUGGUUCUGUGAUAGAAUUCUGGCUUUCCAUGCAGGAGACACGGGUUCGAUUCCCAGCCAAUGCA